rnacentral:lncRNA from 1 species
CCAAAAAAUCCACAGAAAAUACUCUUGCAUCAUUUUCCCUGGUAAUCUCUGGAAUAAAAGCUGGUUCCAAUGUGGCAGUGCUCUCAAGGCUCUGAUUCCCUAAACUGCCGAGACCAGCUCAGCAGGAUGGGGCUGAAGAACAGAUGUCAGCUCUCUCCUUGAUAUCUUCUGACUGCAGACUGCAGACAGUAAAAUACCUCCAAGGGGUAUCCUGGAAGAGCCCUCACUAGCAUUGAGCCUUAGAGGCUACGUGUCAAAGUUGGAAGAAGCCUGGCCCCUGAAUCGGUGCUCGGCAGAGAGCCUACUUCAGGUCAGAGGAAGGAGAUUUGGAGACAAGUGAGGAACGUCUGUAUUCCUGUAUCGCAGGUGGAAUGAAGCUCAGCAGCCUUCUAGCUGUUACUGCCCUUUCACAUAGGAGCAAAGUAAAGCCUGGAAUGACUGAAUGACUUGACUAGCUUGACAUAGCAGAGACCCUGGGCCUACUGAUCUUUUUUCUAUGCAAGAGCAGAUACAUCCCCGCCAAGCCAAUCCUGGUGAGACCUGGACUGAGGAAGGGGAAAGUUGCUGAAAGCUUGCUGGUCAAAGACAUGGGCUUGCACAGCACCUGCCACAGGAAAGGCAGUGUUUCUCAAGCUUUCCUGCACAUAAGGAGGACCUUUAAAAAAUGUCGUGGCAGGAAGAGAAAAGAAUGAAGAUUCACAGUGGAGACCAUGAGGCAAUAAUUCCACUUUACUCCAUCUAAUUUCUUUGGCUGAAUCUCAUGCUGAACUCUAAAUCCUGGUGAUCUGUAUGGAGACCCAGUGACCCUCGAGGCGACAAACGUGUAAGAGUUCAAAACAACAGAACCUUUUAUCUGAGAAAAAUGGAAAUCAUUCCAAAUGCUUGAAGGGGCAUGUAGUGGUUUCCAAACUCCAGUGUGCCUGAGACGCUCACUGGAAACUUGCUCAACUUAUCUAUGUAAGUAAUUCUAAAUCAGCUGGUUUGGACUGAAGCCUGCAGAUCUGCAUUUUUAACAAGCACUCUGGAAAUAUCCUCUGAUUGAGAAAUGCUGAACUCGGAGCAAGACCUUAGAGCUUGAUUGCAUUAUAUGAUGGGGACAUUGCAAAAGGUGAGAGGAAAAUAAUUUUUUUAAUUAAAAAAACCUAGUUUCUCUUAGGUAACUCAUAUUUAGAAUAUUCAUGUUGGAAAUCAUUUCUAAAGAUAAAAAUAUGUCUCCUUUCCUUCUCCUUUCCUCCUCUACUUUUUUCUCUUUUGAACCUGGGAAAGGGGAUUUUUGGUAUUUCCCCUUCAUGAAUGCAAGCCAUUUAUAUAAACACCCAUCCCAAGUGGAAUAGCCAAGCCACAAGCUUCCAUGGGCUUCUAAGUCUCAGACACAUUGCCCUGCACCCCAAGGUCAAAUACUAGCUAAGGCUCCCGUGGUUUGGGGCAACACGGUUUGACACACUUGUGCUAGACCCCCACUCUCUGUCCCCAGAAAAGGUGAGGCAGAGAGUGAGAGAAUCGGAUAGAGAUGAUGUGCUGGGGACAGCCUAUCAAAUAUAGGGUGUGGGAAGGCUCGGAGCACUGCUCACCGGUUAUGGUAGACGCGUUGCCCCAGGAAACCACAAGAGAGAGUCCAUAACAUAGGCCCAGAAAUGGGCUCAUAGACAGUAUUUUACCCUGGGUUAAUAAUUUUCUUCUCAUAGUCUUUUAAAAUGAGUCGUAUGCGUGUAUAUGUAUGCCAUAUUAUAGUUAUACACCUCUUUUGUGUGUGUGUGUGAGGGAUUGAUUGCUACCAUCUUACUCAUGUGAAAAGAGAAGGUUAAGAGCCCCUGGCAUAUGCCUCAGAUACUAUGAUGUAUUUUCUUAUAUAUUUUCUCACUGGACCCUUGCAGCAGCUUUGUGAGGAAGGUGGACCUGAUAUUAUUCUUCUCAUUGUGAAGGGAUGGAGAUUUAGAGAGUUGAUGUGUUGUAAAACUUUGAACAAGUUAUUCUACCCUUCUGAACUUCUGUUGUGGUUAUUGUUUAACCUAUAAAGUAGGGGGUUUAUCUUUUUUUUUUUUUUUUUUUUUUUUUUUGUCUUUUUAGCUAUUUCUUGGGCUUCUCCUGCGGCAUAUGGAGGUUCCCAGGCUCGGGGUCAAAUUGGAGCUGUAGCCACUGGCCUACGCCAGAGCCACGGCAACGCAGGAUCCGAGCCGCGUCUGCAACCUACACCACAGCUCACGGCAACGCCGGAUCGUUAACCCACUGAGCAAGAGCAGGGACCGAAGCCGCAACCUCAUGGUUCCUAGUCGGAUUCGUUAACCACUGCGCCACGACGGGAACUCCAUAAUUAACUUAGUUUAAAUUGCCUAGCCUGAAAAGCCCUUUGUCUCAUGGCUUCUCCUUCCAAAUUCAGUAUAUCUUCUAAAUGCAUGGCUUAACAAAGAGGGUGACCCUCACUUAAUUGGAGUCCCACGAAUCCUACUCUAUCUAGGGUAAUGAAGUCAAGAAAAGUCCCUACACUGCUGUCUACCCGCAGGCCGGGAUGGUCUGUGUGGACCAGCCUUCUCUGUGAGGUCGUAUGUUAAGGCUACCCUUUGAGGUCAUGUGACCCUCCUCCUGGAUAUUCCCCUGAACCCAGAUGCUCAGAGUCCAAGAAUCUGGCUGUAGUGAGAGUACCAUGACAGCAGCAGCAGCCCCCUGACAAGACGGUCCCUUUGGCCAGAGCUGGUAGACAUCAGCUUGCUGGAGUUUUAAGGCAGCCACAUCUAUGUCCAUUGGACUUGAGUUCCAGACUUUUUGCCUCCCCACCUUGAAAGUGAUGAAAUAAUGCCUUCCGGGUAGCACCCAAUGAUCAGAUUAUCAAUCUUGCAUGACAUGGCUGAACAAGUCAAGCCUGUGAGUUAGAAGAUCUCAUCCUAGGUAGCUGUGUGACCUUGGGAAAGUCACUUGACCUCUCUGAACUCUGAUUUCCACAUCUUUAAAACAAAUUCAGGUUGGUCAAAUAAUCUCGAAGCCAGGUUCUUCUCAAGCAUUUAACAGGCUUUAAGAAUCAAGUGGGGGAUGGAGGAUAUUGUGAGAAAAAGAAUGUAUGUAUGUAUGUGUGACUGAGUCACUUUGCUGUACAGUAGAAAAUUGACAGAACGCUGUAAAUGAGCUAUAAUGGAAAAAAAUAAAAAUCAUUU